rnacentral:rRNA from 1 species
AUUGAACGCUGGCGGCAUGCCUUACACAUGCAAGUCGAGCGGCAGCACGGGAGCAAUCCUGGUGGCGAGUGGCGAACGGGUGAGUAAUAUAUCGGAACGUGCCCAGUCGUGGGGGAUAACGUAGCGAAAGCUACGCUAAUACCGCAUACGAUCUAUGGAUGAAAGCGGGGGAUCGCAAGACCUCGCGCGAUUGGAGCGGCCGAUAUCAGAUAGCUAGUUGGUGGGGUAAAGGCCCACCAAGGCGACGAUCUGUAGCUGGUCUGAGAGGACGACCAGCCACACUGGGACUGAGACACGGCCCAGACUCCUACGGGAGGCAGCAGUGGGGAAUUUUGGACAAUGGGCGCAAGCCUGAUCCAGCAAUGCCGCGUGCAGGACGAAGGCCUUCGGGUUGUAAACUGCUUUUGUACGGAACGAAACGGCCCCUUCUAAUACAGGGGGCUAAUGACGGUACCGUAAGAAUAAGCACCGGCUAACUACGUGCCAGCCGCCGCCGUAA